ACCUUAUGCCUGAGUCACGUGGCAUAUUUCGUCAUGCGCAGUUCUCAAAGGAGUCAGUCACGUGGAGGGGAACGUGAGAGUUACUUUGGUUGCUGCAUAAUAAAAGUUACAAUUUUCCCACUUGUAAUCAGACUGCCAAUUCGAACGCGUACGUGAACGAUACUCAACAGCACUGCCUGCUUAUCAGUCAUCUUUAAUUCCUCAUCCGGCAUUGAAAGAAAUCAGCAAAAAAAAAAGGAUGAAGGGAUUCACCUGUUUGGUUCUGUUGAUGUGCCUGAGCUGCGUCUUUGCCAUGGCACUUCGUCAAGAGAGAGAUACUAAGGACCAGUUGUUGGAACUGCUCCUGGAGCGAUACUUGGAGGGCAGAUCGCGACAGGAUCGGGACGGAUACGGAAAAGACCGAUCCCUAGAGGAGGACCGUAAGUUGUACAAAACGCAUAUAGCUGUUGUUGUUUUUUUACUUGACAGUCGCCUAUAUGUGAAGAAUGUUUUCAUAUAAACCAUGGGAUCUCAUGACAAAACGUUCCUGAGCCUCUGAUAAAUUGGUAAAUACAGGGCGAGUCAGAAUAUUCUGGACCCAAGUCAGGUAUAUUUUUGUUGUGGCAUAUAAAGUAUAUUGAGAAAAAAACUUAGUGUUUCAUAUAUGAAUGGUUAUUACCAAAAUUUGGAAUUUUUCAAAUUGGUGGCAGUGGUGGUGAGGAGUUUUGCCAUUUUCAUUGAAGUCGCUCAUUUUCCAGCCUGCACACAGAAUUGGUUUUGCAUUUUUAAAUGUGCCAAUAACUACUUUGUUGUUGUAGUGAGACGUUUUUUACGAGGCACCGUACAAUUGGCACACAGCCCAGAAAAAAAAUGUGUACAAACGCGCACUCAGUGCGUGUACGCGCGAGUUUUCUGCUUCCACACCAAACUGUGCAAUAUGGAGGCCUAGCUCACUACACAGUUGUACACUUGCCAGGCCUUCGGGGAACUUCGGGGAACCUGAUUGAAAUAUUAGAACCAAGAAUAUUAGGAACCUGAUUAAAACAUUAGAACCAAGAAUAUUAGGAACCUGAUUAAAAUAUUAGAACCAAGAACAUUAGACACCUGGAAAUCUUAGGAAGCGGGGCAACUUUAGAAAUACAAACAUUGUGAUUAUAAUUUAUCAUUGACAAUGUUAUUACAAUUUAUAGAGCUGAAAGUUGAAUCCAAGUUAUAUGAUUUUUGUAACACUUGUUUUGUGAGUUAGAUUGAGAUUCAGAUCCAGAACUAUUGUAAUUGAUUUUGUAAACGAGUAAUCUGUAACAAGUUCAUGAGACCAAACAUAAUUUGACCCCUCCUAGUGUUUUGUCUUGGUUGUCCUUGGCGUCCUUAAAUCCAAUCAUUUGAGCGGACCUCCUUAAUGGCGUACCGCUACAAAAGUGGCGUCGUAGAUAGGAUUCGUCACAACUUAUUUACCUACUAAGCUUAAAGUAUUUUUUUCUUCCAUGUCUACUCCUCCUGCUACAAAAGUGGCGUCGUAGACAGGAUGCCUUGGACAAUGUAGGAUAAACAGUUUCCUUAAUUGUAAAUUAUUAAGUUCUCCGAACGCCUUUUCCUCGCUGUGGCCGUCCAUUUAUCAUGGAGCGUCGUACGAGAUGGGAUUUGCUGUUGCUGUUACCAUGCAAGAUGUUUCUCCUCAUUCGCCAGGCUGUGAUGCGCCGUUUCACUUGUUGAGGGACAUGAUCAUCUCUUCCAUUUUGUAUUAUUGACUGGGCUGCAUUUUUUUAUAGUAUUGUCAGCAGGUGUAGUUUUGGUCACUUGUAGUUUUAACCUACAUACACUUGUGCAAUUUUAUCUUCCAUGUGAAGUGUAUUUUGACUUUGGUAUCCAUUCUUUUGUAGAUCUGCAUUUGUACAGAUUAAGCCUUUUGGCCUACGUGUAGCUGAAGUCAAAUUUGUGUGCACAGUUGGUUUGUAUGUAGAGUAUGGCCUGAUUGUAUUUUUGCUGACUUAAUUUGCAGACCCUUGUAUAUUUUGACAUAUUGACGUGAAGUUUGACGUGCAUGAUGUGCAUUUCAUAUUUUGUCUGUGCAUUUUGUCUAUUUUUGACAUGAUUCAGUCUGUAUUUAGGCUGUAAUUUUGGGUUGGAUUUUGUGUGUACAAGUUAUGUCAUUGUAUCCCUUGUAGGAUGGAAAAUAGGCUGUAUUGUGACCCUGUUAUAUCUGUGUAGGUACAGAUUUUUUGUCAAAUUUGUGAAGCCUUGUAAUUUCAUGUACACUGUAGGCCGUAGGUGGUCAUUUAUAUCACAACCAUGGUUUUGCCAGACAGUACUUGUUAAGUCACAUCAGU